rnacentral:rRNA from 1 species
AACGAACGCUGGCGGCAGGCUUAACACAUGCAAGUCGAACGCCCCGCAAGGGGGUGGCAGACGGGUGAGUAACGCGUGGGAACAUACCCUUUCCUGCGGAAUAGCUCUGGGAAACUGGAAUUAAUACCGCAUACGCCCUACGGGGGAAAGAUUUAUCGGGGAAGGAUUGGCCCGCGUUGGAUUAGCUAGUUGGUAGGGUAAAGGCCUACCAAGGCGACGAUCCAUAGCUGGUCUGAGAGGGUGAUCAGCCACAUUGGGACUGAGACACGGCCCAAACUCCUACGGGAGGCAGCAGUGGGGAAUAUUGGACAAUGGGCGCAAGCCUGAUCCAGCCAUGCCGCGUGAGUGAUGAAGGCCUUAGGGUUGUAAAGCUCUUUCACCGAUGAAGAUAAUGACGGUAGUCGGAGAAGAAGCCCCGGCUAACUUCGUGCCAGCAGCCGCCGCCGUAA